AGAAACCAACAGGGAUUACCUCAGUAACGGCGAGUGAAGCGGUAACAGCUCAAAUUUGAAAUCGGGCUCCGUCCGGGGCCCGAGUUGUAAUUUGUAGAAGAUGCUUUGGGUGCGGCCGUGGCCUAAGUCCCUUGGAACAGGGCGUCAUAGAGGGUGAGAAUCCCGUCUGCGGCCGGCGGCCUGCGCCCGUGUAAAGCUCUUUCGACGAGUCGAGUUGUUUGGGAAUGCAGCUCAAAAUGGGUGGUAAAUUUCAUCUAAAGCUAAAUAUGGGCCAGAGACCGAUAGCGCACAAGUAGAGUGAUCGAAAGAUGAAAAGCACUUUGGAAAGAGAGUUAAACAGUACGUGAAAUUGUUGAAAGGGAAGCGCUUGCAGCCAGACUCGCGGGCCGCCGCUCCCUCGGGGUUCUCCCCGGGGCAUUCGGCGGCUCACGGGCCAGCAUCGGUUCGGGCGGCUGGACAAAGGCCGCGGGAAUGUGGCCCCCCUCGGGGGGUGUUAUAGCCCGCGGUGUAAUGCAGCCUGCCGGGACCGAGGACCGCGCUUCGGCUAGGAUGCUGGCGUAAUGGCUGUAAGCGACC
rnacentral:rRNA from 1 species